rnacentral:lncRNA from 1 species
GAGGUACUCUGCAUGAAAGGCUGCUAGAAAAUGUUUCCAAGUAACUGGAACAAGCAAGGUGGUUUGUUUGAGUUCCCACCAGCGGUCUGCUUCUCCCACUAAUAUGUAGGUAGCAAGGGUGACCUUCUGCUCGGGAGUCACCCCUAGGGUCUUGAAGGCAUUCUCUAUCUCUGCCAACCAGUAAUCGACAUCUUCAAAAGAGGAUUCCCCUGCAAAAGUAGAUGGGUUUAGUCUCUUGUACCUCUCUA